rnacentral:rRNA from 1 species
UGCCAGACUCCUACGGGAGGCAGCAGUGGGGAAUAUUGCACAAUGGGGGAAACCCUGAUGCAGCAACGCCGCGUGAGUGAAGAAGUAUUUCGGUAUGUAAAGCUCUAUCAGCAGGGAAGAAAAUGACGGUACCUGAGUAAGAAGCCCCGGCUAACUACGUGCCAGCAGCCGCGGUAAUACGUAGGGGGCAAGCGUUAUCCGGAUUUACUGGGUGUAAAGGGAGCGUAGACGGCGAUACAAGUCUGAAGUGAAAGCCCGGGGCUCAACCCCGGGACUGCUUUGGAAACUGUGUUGCUGGAGUGCUGGAGAGGCAAGCGGAAUUCCUAGUGUAGCGGUGAAAUGCGUAGAUAUUAGGAAGAACACCAGUGGCGAAGGCGGCUUGCUGGACAGUAACUGACGUUGAGGCUCGAAAGCGUGGGGAGCAAACAGGAUUAGAUACCCGCGUA